GGGCGUAAAGGGAGCGCAGGCGGCAUGGCAAGUCUGAUGUGAAAACCCGGGGCCCAACCCCGGGAGUGCAUUGGAAACUGCCAGGCUGGAGUGUCGGAGGGGUAAGCGGAAUUCCUAGUGUAGCGGUGAAAUGCGUAGAUAUUAGGAGGAACACCAGUGGCGAAGGCGGCUUACUGGACGACUACUGACGCUGAGGCUCGAAAGCGUGGGGAGCAAACAGGAUUAGAUACCCCGGUAGUCCGAACA
rnacentral:rRNA from 1 species